rnacentral:lncRNA from 1 species
AAAGAAAGAACUCCAAACACUCCACUAAUGGCAGAUUGCAUGUGCAAGGUGUCUUCCUCCUUUGGACUGCACGGCACUCCUUCUUUCUCCUCCUUUGGUGGCUGCACAAGGUGGUGAUGGUGGUGGGAAGGCACGGCUGUGGUAGAUGAAUGGUUAUGGAAAAGGGUAGAAGGGUUAAAAGGACUAGGGAGGCACGGCAAAGGGCUUAGAACUAGGGAGAAUGAAGGGGUUGGUUGCGGCAAGGGUUUAAAAUGAAUUUCUGGAGUGCAUGGAUGAUAUGGGAGGUGGUAUAUUCGGCCAAGAGGUUUAAAAGAGUAUAUAUAGGCACUUAAAAACCCUAGCAAUCAGAUUAGGGUUUCUAGAAACCCAAAUCCACCAGAAAAUAGGUUAAAACAAUCAGAAUUUGCAAGGGAAAAGGCCUAGGGUUCGGCUGGUUUAGUGGGCUAGGGUUUAGGCUUCUAGAAUGCCUUGCAAGGCAAGGAAAUCAGAUAUUUAAAGCCCUAGGUGCGGCAUAGGGUUAGGGAGAUCAGAUUUGGAAAUGGGCUAGGGUUUAGGUGCGGCAUAGGGUGAAUAUCCACAAAGAAUUAGGGCUUAGGUCCACUUAGUUUUAAACAGGGAUUUGCAUAACCCAAAUCCACAACUAAAGGCCCUAAUAAGUCAGAAUUUAAGAGAGAAUGGGCUAGGAAGUGCGGCUCAAGUCCAAGAGGUAAGGAUAGGUCAUCCAAAAGCCCAACGCCAAGAAUAGAAACUCUCACAAAUGGAAACCUCCAAGAAUAUAAACUUCCAACUUUAGAAACUUUGGUUUCUAAUUCUGAAUUCUUUGUUCUUCACAUUCAUUUCUUCAUUUCUUAAGCUCCUUUGCCCUUCAAACUCGUCCAUUCCUUGUGCUCCAAGCAUGUACUUUCCAAUCUAAGCUCCAUUUUGCUCCAAAAGGCUCCAAUUUGCAUCCUUUUAUGUCAUAUGCCCUUUAAGCCUGAAAACACAUGAAAGUAGCUCAAAAGACUACUUUAACGAAGAAAACAUAACGAAAAUGCAUAAGAACUAGCUAACUAAGGCGCAUAAAUAUGCUCCUAUCAAACCAGUUCAUCAAUAUCAUCACGCAAUCAGGUUCUUCAAAAACAACGGUUUUUAUCUCGAUAUUUUUACAGCCCUGAUAGCAUGAACAUUCACCAUAAUGCAUGACCCAACUUUAUGUUUUUCGAAUUUUAGAUUCUACAUAAAUUGUGUAUGCAUUAUAUCCAUAAUUAUAAAAGGGUAAAUUACACAAAAUUACCUCAAUUACUGAUCUCACGACACUUUCAUACCUCAUUUUUUUAAAAUGACAAUGUCAUACCUCAUCUUACAAAUUUGUGCCAAUGUCAUACCUCCGUCAAAUUUUUUGUUAUUUUCUUUGUUAAGUGCUGAUGUGGCUACAUG